rnacentral:rRNA from 1 species
GGGCCCGCACAAGCGGUGGAGUAUGUGGUUUAAUUCGAUGCAACGCGAAGAACCUUACCAGGGUUUGACAUCCUGCGAAUCUCUUGGAAACGAGAGAGUGCCUUCGGGAACGCAGUGACAGGUGGUGCAUGGCUGUCGUCAGCUCGUGUCGUGAGAUGUUGGGUUAAGUCCUAUAACGAGCGCAACCCCUGCCGUUAGUUGCCAGCAUGUAAUGAUGGGAACUCUAACGGGACUGCCGGUGCAAACCGCGAGGAAGGUGGGGAUGACGUCAAAUCAUCACGGCCCUUACGUCCUGGGCUACACACGUGCUACAAUGGCCGGUACAGAGGGCAGCCACACCGCAAGGUGGAGCGAAUCCUUAAAACCGGUCUCAGUUCGGAUCGGGGUCUGCAACUCGGCCCCGUGAAGCUGGAAUCGCUAGUAAUCGGAUAUC